rnacentral:lncRNA from 1 species
CUACAACCUCGAUGAUUGGCUUUAGGAUAUAUUUUUCAACAAGAGCAGCCUAAGGGUUUCACAUCUAAUGAUAGUGAUCACAAAAUUUGCAAGCUAUAAAGGUCCAUUUAUGGAUUUAAGCAAACAUCUCAAAGUUCAAACAUCUACUUUAAUAAUGUGAUCAAAUCAUUUGAUUUCAUUAGAAAUGAGGAGGGGGCCUAUG